UACGUAGGUGGCGAGCGUUAUCCGGAUUUACUGGGUGUAAAGGGCGCGUAGGCGGGAAUGCAAGUCAGAUGUGAAAUACUGAGGCUCAACCUCAGGGGUGCAUUUGAAACUACAUUUCUUGAGUGAUGGAGAGGCAGGCGGAAUUCCCGGUGUAGCGGUGGAAUGCGUAGAUAUCGGGAGGAACACCAGUGGCGAAGGCGGCCUGCUGGACAUUAACUGACGCUGAGGCGCGAAAGCGUGGGGAGCAAACAGGAUUAGAUACC
rnacentral:rRNA from 1 species